rnacentral:RNase_P_RNA from 1 species
AGGCCGAGGCUGGCGGCCACGGGCCGCAAGGCCUGAGGAAACACCGCCCUCCCAGCGGCAGCUGGACCCCGCAAGGGGCCAGGGCAGACCUCUGGGCAACGGCACAGAGACGACACGGCCCUCGCGACAUGGCUAUGAUGCCGCGAGGCGAGCCUGGCGACAGGCUCGCAGUAACCGGCUGAGGACCGCGGGGGAUGCGGUGAAACGGCCGUCCCCAGCGGAGCAAGGCGGGGGCCUGUGAGGAGCCGCGGGAGGCCCCCAGGGCCGCUGAGUCAGAUGCCGCCGAAGUACAGAAGGCGGGUUACAGCCUCGGCCU